CCUACGGGAGACAGCAGUGGGGAAUAUUGCACAAUGGGGGAAACCCUGAUGCAGCGACGCCGCGUGAGUGAAGAAGUAAUUCGUUAUGUAAAGCUCUAUCAGCAGGGAAGAAAAUGACGGUACCUGAGUAAGAAGCCCCGGCUAACUACGUGCCAGCAGCCGCGGUACUACGUAGGGGGCAAGCGUUAUCCGGAUUUACUGGGUGUAAAGGGAGCGUAGACGGCAGUGCAAGUCUGGAGUGAAAGGCGGGGGCUCAACCCCCGGACUGCUCUGGAAACUGUACGGCUGGAGUGCAGGAGAGGUAGGUGGAAUUCCUAGUGUAGCGGUGAAAUGCGUAGAUAUUAGGAGGAACACCAGUGGCGAAGGCGGCUUACUGGACUGUAACUGACGUUGAGGCCCGAAAGCGUGGGGAGCAAACAGGAUUAGAUACCCCUGUAGUC
rnacentral:rRNA from 1 species